AUGGACGCCUCCGACGAGCUCCGGUCGCUGGAGGCCACGGGGAUCUACCGCCUCGCGGGCUCUCGCGCCGCCUUCGUCGACCCGGUGCGCCUCCUCGGCGAAUCCUACCGGCGCUUCCGCCUCGUCCCGUCGGCGUACUACUCCCGGAGCUUCGGCCCGUCGCGGCAGGGAGGCGAAGCGCAGGCCGAGGGGACGGCGCCGUCUCCCGACCGGAAGAAGCGCAAGCGGAAGCGCCAGACGAAGGCCCGGGAACUCAACGCCGUGGAGCGGAUCGCAGAAGCGCGGCACCAGGAAGCAAGGCCUUUGCUAAUUAGCGCGCAUAAUUCACUCCUCGAUGCGAAAUAUCUACUGGAAUACCUUCCGGGUAUGAUCAAGGGAGAUGAAUGCAGGCCAGAGCUCGAAACUAGUUCUGAGAACAAUUUUGUUGAGCUUGGGGGCUCAUGGCGAGCACCUUUCUACGAGAUGACUAUUUGCUUUCAGAAGCCUCUUGGUCAGGACGAGGCCGGUACCUGUGAUGUCCAAAAGAGAUCCAGUCCAUUGUUUAAUAGAGUAGUCCGUGUUGAAGAAAACGGUGAGGCAGAAGGAGAAUUUCAGGGUAGACUUUAUGUUUUACCAAAAGGAAGUUGCUUCAUGAUGACCGACUUCACACAUGUUCGUGAUCUCAUUCCUGAUAAUCCUAAUACAGGGUACAACCUUAUAGUUAUUGACCCACCUUGGGAGAAUGGAUGUGUUCGCCAGAAAGAAGCGUAUCCUACACUUCCCAAUAGAAAUUUGUUGUAUCUUCCAGUUCAAGAACUUGCACAUCCAGCUGGAGCUCUUGUAGUUUUGUGGAUUACAAAUCGGGAGAAACUGCGAAGAUUUGUUGAGGAGGAAUUGCUUCCAUCUUGGGGAGUCAAAGACCCAACGGAGUUUUAUUGGCUGAAGGUGAAGUCGGAUGGUUCACUGAUUGGCGAUCUAGACUUGUUCCAUCACAGACCUUAUGAGUGUCUCCUUCUUGGCUACAUCAAUGUUAAUAGAGAAGCUGAGUCAGGAUCGAAGUUUAAGGUUCUACAAGGCAGCCAAGUAAUUAUGAGUGUUCCGGGUGCGCACUCAAGGAAACCUCCUCUUCAGAAAAUUCUUUCAGAAUAUAUUCCUGGUCCUAAACCUCCAAGGUGCAUAGAGCUUUUCGCAAGAGAAUUGGGUUCCGGGUGGACCUCGUGGGGGAACGAGCCGCUCCAUUUCCAGGAUUCCGCAUACUUCUCAAAGAAGUAA
rnacentral:rRNA from 1 species